rnacentral:rRNA from 1 species
UACGGAGGGUGCGAGCGUUGUCCGGAAUCAUUGGGCGUAAAGAGCGUGUAGGCGGCCCGAUAAGUCCGCUGUGAAAGUCCAGGGCUCAACCCUGGGAUGCCGGUGGAUACUGUCGGGCUCGAGUCCGGAAGAGGAGUGUGGAAUUCCUGGUGUAGCAGUGAAAUGCGCAGAUAUCAGGAGGAACACCAAUGGCGAAGGCAGCACUCUGGGACGUGACUGACGCUGAGACGCGAAAGCGUGGGGAGCAAACAGG